UUUUGGCUAUCAGUUGCUUUCCUAGCAUUUGAGCUUGGUUUGUGGCUGUUAGUUGGGUGGUCUCGGGGAUGUAUACAGUAAAGGUGCAUGAGUGGUGUUUGGUUUGUUACGGGUGGUUGGCUCUUUGCUUGCGCAACAACUUCCACCUGGCAUACCUUUUCAGUUUGUGUCAAUGCUUUAAUCGCAUUGACCGCAUCGUGGGUUUCUUGUGUUGCAUGCCUGAUCGAUGGUAUCGAAUGACGAAUUAAUGUUUAUUUUUGUCUUGCGUUGCAGUUGUGAUGCGAGAUGAACCACGAAGCAGCCUUUUUGAUCCACUCUUUCAACUGCGCACGCUUUGAUUUGGUGGCUAACUAAGGUUUGCUUGGUCUCAUCGGUAUGGUAAAGGUUUUGGGCACAGGGUCUUUUAUUAGAUCCUUGUUUGCCUUAGUUAAGCUUUUCAAAUACGAUUUCCUAUCACGUUUUGACGUGGUAGGCUAUAUCGAAUAUGAAUG
rnacentral:misc_RNA from 1 species